rnacentral:rRNA from 1 species
GUCGAACGCUGGCGGCGUGCCUAACACAUGCAAGUCGAACGCAGUGGGGACGGGUGAGUAACACGUGGGUAACCUCCCAUCAGAGGGGAUAAACCUUGGAAACAGGUGCUAAACCGAUACCGAUGGAUGGACACGCGGGGAAGUAGCUAGUUGGUGAGGUAACGGCGGACCAAGGCGACGAUGCAUAGCCGGCCUGAGAGGAUGAUCGGCCACACUGGGACUGAGACACGGCCCAGACUCCUACGGGAGGCAGCAGUGGGGAAUCUUCGGCAAUGGGCGAAAGUCUGACCCAGCCACGCCGCGUGUAUGAAGAAGGUUUUCGGGUCGUAAAGCUCUGUUGUUAGGGAAGCGGUAUCUAACCAAGAAGCACCGGCUAACUCCGUGCCAGCAGCCGCGGUAAUAC